rnacentral:rRNA from 1 species
GAUGAACGCUGGCGGCGUGCUUAACACAUGCAAGUCGAACGAAGCACUUUAACCUGAUUCUUCGGAUGAAGGUUUUUGUGACUGAGUGGCGGACGGGUGAGUAACGCGUGGGUAACCUGCCUCAUACAGGGGGAUAACAGUUAGAAAUGACUGCUAAUACCGCAUAAGACCACAGAGCCGCAUGGCUCGGUGGGAAAAACUCCGGUGGUAUGAGAUGGACCCGCGUCUGAUUAGGUAGUUGGUGGGGUAACGGCCUACCAAGCCAACGAUCAGUAGCCGACCUGAGAGGGUGACCGGCCACAUUGGGACUGAGACACGGCCCAAACUCCUACGGGAGGCAGCAGUGGGGAAUAUUGCACAAUGGGGGAAACCCUGAUGCAGCGACGCCGCGUGAGCGAAGAAGUAUUUCGGUAUGUAAAGCUCUAUCAGCAGGGAAGAAAAUGACGGUACCUGACUAAGAAGCACCGGCUAAAUACGU